UCAAUCAAUAAGCUUGCAGCACGAAUAAGAACCACUGAUGAUAGCAAACUUACAGCUUAUGGACAAAUGCUUAAAGCACAAGGAACAAACUUAGAUACAAUGUAGACAAUUGGAUUCCAACCUUGGUUCAAGUUUGACCACAUCACAACUAUAUUUGGACCAAUGAGUAGGUUUAAGUCCAAACUCCAAAAUCUAGAGCUUUUCUAAACAAGUUAAAUACGACUAGUGAAAAUUGGCUGACCCAAUAAAUCUAAACCGAUUGGAGAGAGAAGGAAGCAAUUCUUUUAAUCUGCUCAACCUAGACCUCUAAAAGAAAAUAAUAACAAAAUAAUGAAAUUUCAGAAGCAGGGCUUUAGAACCUUUAUGCUUUCAUUAAUUCCAUAAUAAAACUGACUACAACAUCUCUAGUCAAGUCCUAAAAUCCAGUUAGAUUCCUAUACUAGUCAAAAUAUGUUAGGAUUUUCUGAAAAUAAUAAGUAACUAGUAAAAAUAAUUAUGAAAAGACUAAAAUGCUAAAGAGCUAGAUCUCGACUUUUACAUCAACUUAGCUUUCUAUUAUAUUGCCUAAAUCCUCCUAGAUUAGAAGAUAUAACCUAGUCAAAAGCUUCCAAAACAGAUAAACUUUUGUUUGAUUGGGCAUUUGGGAGGCUUAAAUAGUCUCAAAAUUUGUUGACUUGAUGAACGUCGAUGGUACCAUCCCAAA
rnacentral:lncRNA from 1 species